AUUUGCUUAGCGGUUUUGGAAAAUGACUUAGUUCCACUUUAUGUCGUCUUUUUUUUUUUUUUUUUUUAAGCUGUACAUGUGGAAAGUGCAGUUUGAUGACAACAUCGCAUGUUGUUUACUUGAUGUGCUUACGCGCUGAUAGCUAAGUUAACAACACAGAGAUAUUUAAAGCAGUUUUACUCACCGCAUGUGGUUCCAACACACAAUCGUGACCCUUUUCCGUUGGGACUGCAUUAUCCUUAAGAAAUAAACGACGUGGAAUCCGAAAUGCAGGGAACAAACAAAAACACUUGCACAACUCCGUUGAUGCUCUGUAAAAAUAAACUCCAUCCACUGGUCCCUUAAUGCUGUUUCUCUUUUGGUAAUCUUUGCAGGGUUGUCUUGCCCUGGCAACCAAAAACACACUUCUUUUGUGACUUUUCGCGACGCUCUCGCUCUGAUCAGGCUGUGCUCAGCCUCUCUCUGCUCUGCUAUACGGGAGUGCGCGCUCUUCCGGCAGAAGAGCGCGCACUUAGGACCCAUAUAAGGAAAUUCCGCUCCAUCUAACGUCACACAGAGCCAUACUCGAAAAAAACUUUCCGAAACUUGUGACAAACCGGAAGAGGUUUUUUUGGAACAAAAAUACUCCUUCAAACGUACAACUUAAUUUUUGAAACUUUGUCCAUGUUUAGCAUGGGAAUCCAACUCUUUAACAGUGUAAAAAACUCAGUAUGCAUGAAAUAGCAUUUCACCCCCCCCCCCCCUUUAAGCAGUGGUGCUGCUUUAAGAAAGACUGUUGUAUUUGAUUGCUAUUGUGUGAUCAGGGCCUGUAGUGUAUCUUCAAGACAGCCUGUUGUACUGGCUGUAGUGAUUAGAAAUGUGUUUCUUUUUUUUGUUUAUUCUUCUGCCUGCAGACGCAGUAAGGAGGUGGGUGCCACUUUUAUUUAAUCAACUUAUGCUUUUCUCCUGGUUUUGUGGAACAGUGAGGAAGUCAGGGAAGAGACAUGUUGUUGAUUUUGAUGUUUUGUUUGCUAGGUAAGUUAGAUUACUUUGUUUUCAGUUAGCAUCCCCUUUUUGUUUGUUAUUUUGGCCUUAACCCCCUCCUGAAGCUACAAGCGUCUUAUUCUUUCUUUUUGAAUUAUCCAUAUUGUUAAACCUCUAAUUUUCCCUUCCCCUUUAAUGCUGUACAAAGACUUUACAUUUUAAAUAAAAUCUUGAAGAGUU